ensembl:snRNA U6 U6 spliceosomal RNA
GUGCUUGCUUCGGCAGCACAUAUACUAAAAUUGGAAUGACCCAGAGAUUAGCAUGGCUCCUGCGCAAGGAUGACACAUGAAUUCAUGAAGCGUUCCAUAUCUUU